CGUUCCUGUUGGAUGGUACGGCUACCGCAGCUGGUGCAAUUGCAUCCGUAGCAGCAUCGAUGAAGAACGCAAAUGGUGGGUCACCUACCACACUGGAGACAAGACUGGUGGUACUGACUUCCGCCGUGCAGUCU
rnacentral:misc_RNA from 1 species